UACAAAUCUAGAGGUUGCGAAUUAUCAAGACAUUUAACAGAGCAUAAGGGUGCUGAGACGUUAAAUAUGAGGGGUUUUCGCCGAAAUGUAAAUGAGAUCCUUAACUCAUUUAUGUUGGGGCUAUGGUGAAUAACUAUGGCACUGUCUCAGUCUAACUGAGUUGCGCUACGAUUUUA
rnacentral:ncRNA from 2 species